UACGUAGGGGGCUAGCGUUGUCCGGAUUUAUUGGGCGUAAAGAGCGUGUAGGCGGCCAGGUAGGUCUGCUGUGAAAACUCGAGGCUCAACCUCGAGACGUCGGCGGAAACCAUCUGGCUAGAGUCCGGAAGAGGAGAGUGGAAUUCCUGGUGUAGCGGUGGAAUGCGCAGAUAUCAGGAGGAACACCGGUGGCGAAGGCGGGUCUCUGGGCAGUAACUGACGCUGAGGAGCGAAAGCCAGGGGAGCAAACGGG
rnacentral:rRNA from 1 species